ACGUUCGGAAACGGACGCUAAUACCGCAUACGUCCUACGGGAGAAAGCAGGGGACCUUCGGGCCUUGCGCUAUCAGAUGAGCCUAGGUCGGAUUAGCUAGUUGGUGAGGUAAUGGCUCACCAAGGCGACGAUCCGUAACUGGUCUGAGAGGAUGAUCAGUCACACUGGAACUGAGACACGGUCCAGACUCCUACGGGAGGCAGCAGUGGGGAAUAUUGGACAAUGGGCGAAAGCCUGAUCCAGCCAUGCCGCGUGUGUGAAGAAGGUCUUCGGAUUGUAAAGCACUUUAAGUUGGGAGGAAGGGUUGUAGAUUAAUACUCUGCAAUUUUGACGUUACCGACAGAAUAAGCACCGGCUAACUCUGUGCCAGCAGCCGCGGUAAUACAGAGGGUGCAAGCGUUAAUCGGAAUUACUGGGCGUAAAGCGCGCGUAGGUGGUUUGUUAAGUUGGAUGUGAAAUCCCCGGGCUCAACCUGGGAACUGCAUUCAAAACUGACUGACUAGAGUAUGGUAGAGGGUGGUGGAAUUUCCUGUGUAGCGGUGAAAUGCGUAGAUAUAGGAAGGAACACCAGUGGCGAAGGCGACCACCUGGACUAAUACUGACACUGAGGUGCGAAAGCGUGGGGGAGCAAACAGGAUUAGAUACCCUGGUAGUCCACGCCGUAAACGAUGUCAACUAGCCGUUGGAAGCCUUGAGCUUUUAGUGGCGCAGCUAACGCAUUAAGUUGACCGCCUGGGGAGUACGGCCGCAAGGUUAAAACUCAAAUGAAUUGACGGGGGCCCGCACAAGCGGUGGAGCAUGUGGUUUAAUUCGAAGCAACGCGAAGAACCUUACCAGGCCUUGACAUCCAAUGAACUUUCUAGAGAUAGAUUGGUGCCUUCGGGAACAUUGAGACAGGUGCUGCAUGGCUGUCGUCAGCUCGUGUCGUGAGAUGUUGGGUUAAGUCCCGUAACGAGCGCAACCCUUGUCCUUAGUUACCAGCACGUUAUGGUGGGCACUCUAAGGAGACUGCCGGUGACAAACCGGAGGAAGGUGGGGAUGACGUCAAGUCAUCAUGGCCCUUACGGCCUGGGCUACACACGUGCUACAAUGGUCGGUACAGAGGGUUGCCAAGCCGCGAGGUGGAGCUAAUCCCAUAAAACCGAUCGUAGUCCGGAUCGCAGUCUGCAACUCGACUGCGUGAAGUCGGAAUCGCUAGUAAUCGCGAAUCAGAAUGUCGCGGUGAAUACGUUCCCGGGCCUUGUACACACCGCCCGUCACACCAUGGGAGUGGGUUGCACCAGAAGUAGCUAGUCUAACCUUCGUGAGAACCGUUAUCAAGGCGCUUUGAUCGUGC
rnacentral:rRNA from 1 species